CGGAGGCGACCUCAGUCUCCUCUGACUCGCCCCCUCCUGGAAACGCCCCCUCUGGCUUCAGCCUCCUUUUAUCUUGUGUCCCAAGACUUCUCUCAGUCCCUUCCUCUGAGCGUCCUCCUGGCUGCGGCUUCCUACCACCCGCUCCUCUGUCCCCUUUCGCUCCAUGGACUAUCACUGGCCCGUUCACAAAGAUAGUAGCAAUCUGUCACUGUUUUUCAUCACUUUACGUGAUAUAUUGUGCAUUAAUUAUUAGCAUAUUUUAUAUAUUAUUAUUAUUGUUAGGGAUGAUGUAAAAGGAAGAGUAUCAUGCCUUAAUUAUCAGUGUAUUUUAUAUUAUAGAAUUUUUAUUAUUUUUGUUAAGGAAGAUAUAAGAAAAAAGGAUAAAUGUGUUACUAAAAAGUGGAUGUAAUUUUGACCAUUUAAAUUUACAUUAAAGAAAUUUUUGUGCCAUAUUUGGAGAACUUUAUUUUGGCUUACCCGUGAUCUCUACUGCCACCCGUGUUCGCCACUCUCUGGGUUAACGUGAGUCCAUUCCUUCACUCAAGAGUGGUUUUUCCUGAGCAUCUUCUCUGUGCCAGGCACUGUCCCCGGUUCUGGAGGGACAGCAAGGAACAAGACCAUCUCUUUUCUCAGAGAGCUCAGGUUCUGGUGGGAGGUGCAUGUGUAUAUAUACAGUCUGAGGGGCUGGCUAUUACUUUAUUUGCCUCAACAGUGCCUUCUGGAGUUUUGGGACUGGGAGCAAGCCCCCAAGCUCCUUUCUUUCACCAUCUCCAACAUGUGAUCUCUUUUGGAUCAACUUUUGGGAAUACUUUGCUAUUUAUUGGUGACUUCUGAUGGCUUAACCGUGCCCAGUCGGGUAACUUUUCUAUUAUUUGAACUCACAGUAAGAGGAGGAGGAAAGGGGAGCCACUUUCCAGGUUGAGCUAGUUCUCAAGGGGCCACUGGCUCUUGUGCAAAGCUGUGAGUGUAAGUCGCGCUGCAUCGGGCAGUACAGCGUGGUGGUCCACAGGGGGCCUCCGGAGAUAGACCUGGGUCCAAAUUCUGGUUUUGCCACAUGUCUGUCUGCGUAGCUUUGCUCAGAUCACUUAACCUUUCUGAGGCUCCUUCUCUGCCAGCCCCCAACUACUUCCCAUAAAACGAGGAAAGUGACAAUAAUCACCUAGGAGGCUUGGAGCAAUCAUUCGAGGAGGUUCUAUCUAUGUACGUGUGCACACAGCAAGUGCUUAGCACAGCGAGUGCCGGGCACAAAUCUCAAUAAAUGGUAGCUGUGGUUAGUAAGCAUAAUUUACUGUUUCUUCCUCCCCUCCAGCUUUAUUGAGGUAUAAUUGACAAAUAAAAGUUGCAUAUAUUUAACGUGUACAACAUGAUGUUUUGAUAUACGUGUAUAUUGUGAAAUGAUUACUACCAUCCAGCUAAUUAACAUACUCAUCACUUCACAUAGUUACCGUUUUUUUGUGUGUGGUGAGAACGCUUGACAUCUACUCUCUUGGCAAGUUUCAAACACAGAAUUCAGUAUUUUUUAACUAUAGUCACCGUGCUGUACACCAGGUCUCCGGAACUUAUUCAUCGUAUAACUGAAAGUUUCUACCCUCUGACCAGCAUUUCCUCAUCCCCCCGCCCCUGCCCAGCCCAUGGUAACCACCAUCCUACUCUCUGUUACUGCGAGGUUGACUACUUUAGAUUCCACAUAUACGUGAGAUCAUGCAGUAUUUGUUACAGUGUUUCUUAAUUUUCACGUAUUAUAGCGACUUCUCGAUUAAUUGUACUGUAAUCAGAGAACAUAUUCUGCAUAGUUUGAUGAGUUCUGAGACACGGGAAAUACAGAUUGAUACUGGUGCAUAUGGCAGGGACACCUGAGAGUCUAGGUAGGCUGCCUGGAGGAGGAGUGACUUAUAAACAUAAAACGGAAGGAUGAGCAGCAUGCAGGUAGAGAAAGGUGUAUGUAUGUGUGUGUGUUCCAGGGAGCAGUGGCUGAAGGACCUCAGUCUUAUGGGGGAGACACUUAAGUGGGCAGGAUGGGUUCAAUGUAAUCUAGUAAAGGUCAGGACAGAGGGAAACCUGGGCAAAGCCUAAUGGGCCUGCUUCAGGAAUCUAUGGAUGUGUAAAGCUGAAAGCUACACCGCGACGGAAAGCUGGUUGGUGUGAGGCUUGGGUUUGAAGCUUCCCUUCCCUCUUAAUAGUCUUACUUUGGGUGAGAUACUAAACUUCUUGAAGUCUCAGUUUCCUUCUCUACACACCGGGGAUGACCCCCCGCCGGCAGACGGACAUGGAGCUAUCUGAGAUACUGAGAUACUGUAGGAGCCAUCAGACAUGACCAUGCAAUUAGCAAAAGGCAAGUGCAGGGCUCUGUUAGUGUGAGUGGUUUUCAUCCCUAGGUGUGAGUUUUUACAAUGUCACCUUGGGCGUCUGGCCCACAAAGGGACUCUGGGUCAUGCUGCAGCCACAGAACACCCAGGAGGCAGCAGGUGGAGAGGACAAGAAUAGCCAGGAACCCUGAGCGGAAGGAGCCUGUGAGUACAGCCCGGGCGGCUGAGGUGGAGCUGACCUAACUGAUGAGAGCUGAUUUAGCUGACGAGUGCAGAGAGGGCGCGGGCAGAGCGCCUGGCCCGGGGGUUGGGACCUUCCUCCCAUCUCUGCAUAGGCUUAUCCAGUGAGCUUGGCUUCCUGGGUCUGUUUCCUUAAAUGAAAAUGCAGAGGGAGUUUGCAGGCAAACUGGAUUUCCGCCCACCCCUCCAGGAGGACUAGAUUGAGAAGAAUUUACAAGCUUUGUCCAGAUUCAGCAGGAAAGAGCGUUCAGGUCAAUCAGAGGUGUCUACCUCGAGUGACAGGGGAGUGGUGGCAUGUGGGCCAUGCAUUUUCUAUCCCUGGGACUUGGUAGGAAUGCCCCCAACACUUGUUGUGUGCUUAUUUUGUACCAGACACCAUACUAAAUGCUUUAGGUAAAUUGUAUCAUUUAACUCUCUUAACAGCCUCAUAUGUCAAGGACUACUGUUAUCCUCAUUUUACAGAUGAGGAAUCUGGCCCAGAGAGGUUAAGUAAUUUGCCCAGCGUAACACAGUUGUUAGCUGUGGCCAACGUCUCUUCCAGCUUGUAAUCUAUCCAGACUGGAAGCUGUUUGAGAGGAGGAGCUUUAUCGUAUUUAUGUUUGAACCCCCAGGGCCUAGCAGGCUUUCAGACUGUUAUUUGUGGCUAUGCUGAACUCAGUGGUUCUAGUGGAACAGUCACUUAGGACAUAAAACAGCUUCUCCUGCCUGGGUCCAGCCUUGCAUCACUUGUGUCUCUGAGGUUGGGCCUGGGCGGCUGCACCUCGUGAUCCGAGCCCACAAAGCUGAGAGCUGUUGGCCCAGGUAUUCUGAUUCUUGGGCCAACUGCGAGCUCUCCUUCCCUCUUCCUGCGUCGUGGCUCUGGGGGGUGCUGUUGGAUAGUCUAAAGACUAUCCCUCAACCCAGGAAUGGCACGUCUCUCUGUUUUCAAAUUUGCUUUGUGUAUGUUCUCUCAAGAACUCGGUAGAGAGCUUGCCCAGAUGGACGUGGCCUGAACUAGCCUUCCUGUGGCUCUUCCGAUUGCUAACGGUCGACGUUGAAGCAGGCAGAUGUAUGGCGUUUCUGGGGAGUCUGUAGCUUCGUUUUGUGUUCAGCCUUCCUCCAGGAGCAGUAGGUCUGUGUUGAGGAAGAAGAGGUUUGCAAGGAAUCACGUGAGGUGUGGGAGGCUGAGUGAUGACCCCCGAAGCCGUCCACGUCCACCUGUGACUAGGUUACGUUACAUGGCAAAGGGGACUUUGCAGAUGUGAUUAAGUUAAUAAUCUUGAGAUAAGGAGAUUAUGCUGGAUUAUCCUAGUGGAUCCAAUGUAAUCACAAGCAUCCUUAAAAGCUGGAAGAGGGAGCAGAAAGUUAGAUGAGAGAAGGAGAUGUGAGGAUGGAGGCAGGAGGCGGAGGCAGAGAGAGAUUCGAAGAUGCCAUGCUGCUGGCUUUGAAGAUGGAGUAAGGGGCCAAUUUUAAGUCACAGGAUGAAGGCAGCCUGCAAACGCGUUUUCCCCUAAAGCUCCCAGAAGGAAGCAGCCCUGCUGACACCUUGAUUUCAGCCCACUGAAACCCAUUUUGGACUUCUGACCUCUGGAUCUGUAAGAUAAUAAAUUUAUGUUGUUUCAACCACUAAGUUUGCAGCAAUUUGUUACAGCAGCAAUGUGAAACUAAUAUGUGAAGGAGACCUGAAAUGCUUCUAUGGCUGAUGGGAUCGCUUGGCUACCUCGUGGCCAUUCCUAAGCCCCUCCUCCCUUGCCUUCUUCCCAGGUACUCAUAUUCUCAGCCUCCUUUGUACUCAGGGAUGACCAGGUGACCCAAAGAGUCAGAAAGAAGUCAGCAGGGGAAAGAGUCUCUGUCCUUGAUAAAAGCAGAGAAGGAUUCAACCAGAGCUCUCCCUCACUGCCUCCUCCACCCCUUUGAAUUCUUACUUUGGGAACACUGUGAGAAGGUGAUGUCCAGAGCUGUAGCAGCCAUCUUGGGACCAUGAGGUGAAAGUCCAUGCAUCACACCCUCAGCUGUGCUUAGGAUUCGAAACCACGGUUAGGUCAGUCCAACAGCUACACUUCACCUUCCAAAAUGUUGUUCUGGAGGAGUUCACACUCUGCAUUAAUCUGAUCUUCUUUGGUUGAAACUGCCAGAAACCCACCUUUAUAGGCUGCUGUGAGAAUUGACUGAGACAAGAAAUCAACCCAAGUUGACCGCUGGGUGCUUGGUGAGUGUUACUGGGCCACGAUUACUACAGGACUUGCCGUUUAGAAAGCUCUUUCACAGGUUUUUCAUUUUAAUUUUUAUCUUCACAAAGAUCUUGAAAACAAGAAUAAUAAAAUUGCUACUCUCCCUUUACAGAUGAGGAGACAGGGGCCCAGAUUCUGCGUCACCUUCUCAGUGGCACUGAAAGCCCAUGGUGGGUGGUGACUAGGCCCCAGGUUUCUCCACUUCUGCUUUGGUGCUUUUCUCCCUCCUAGAUCACACAACGUCGAAACUGGUAAAAAUGCUUAGAAAUUAUCUAGCUCAGGCACGGCAACUGGAUUGUAUUUACUUCACUUGCCAGCUCUGGCCUGAAGCUCUGCGUUGUGUCCUACUCACUGGGAAAGGGGGUUGGGAUUGAUUAGUGAUGUCUGCUGGGGCUCAGGGUGGGCGAGUGUGUGUGGCACGGACUUGCCGUACCUGUCCAAUCCCACCCUCUCACUUAACCAAAAAAGGAACAAACCUCAGAGAGAGAACUGACUUACUCAUGGUUACACAAUGAACUAGGGACAGAAGUGGGACUAACGAUUUCUCUCACUUCCAGUCCAGCUCCCAAGACCGCCAAUCAGACUUAACUAUUUAAAUAUCCUCUUUCUUACGUUGGCAGGAUUCCUGCUGUCUAAAUAGAAAUCAUCGAGGCCUCCCAGAACGUUAACAACCGUGGGUUCUAAUGCCAGCCGUUCUGCUGUGUGGCACUCAACAAGCUGAUCAUCUUUUUGUGCUGACAGAUCAAACUGCUUCCCCCAGAGAGCCUCCCCACCUCAAAGAAAGUGGAUAGUUCAAGCAUGGUGAGCUAGGUGUUGCCUAGGAAAUGUCAGCCAAGAAGACUGAAAUGAAAGAAACACCGUGGCCCAGGACACAUAGAGCUCUUGACUGGCGACGUGAGUUGGUAAAUUGGGAUCUGAGUGUGUUUCAAGGCCGUAAGCUGGAGAGGAAAGGACAAUGGCUGGAUUUGCACUUUGCAAGAACUAAAACAAAAGGAGCAAUUCUUUUAGUCUCAGGUUACAGAACGCUGGCUUGACUUUUUACGCAUGACGGGGCAUCAAAGAUGCCCGUUUUCCACGGGUGUGUGGCCUUCUGCGGUGGAGGCUGGCUGCGCUCAGGUUUUCAGGUUUCUCCAAGCGGGGAUGAUUCUCCUUCCCAAGAGGAAACUUGGUGACUAAUCAAACGGACAGAAUCUGGCCUGGGAAACAUUGCCACGCAUGGCAGAAGAUGCUGGCGCUCACCAACAUUCAUGUUCUUUUCUUCGUCCUGGGCAUGGAGCUCAACUACGUUUCCAGACUCCCCUGAGGCCAGGCGUGGCCAAGAGAAUGUGGAUGGAAGUGAGUAUACUGCUUCUAGAACUGGCCCACGUGUCAUCUUUGCUCUUUCCUCGCCCACCUGCUGUAUGGAGAGGACUCCGAGGACCCACGUGGAAGGAGUCUGGCCACUGAAUAACGCACAGAGCAAGCUCCCUACUAUGGCUGGGUUGUGGCGUAAGGGAGAAACAGAUUUUAAUGUGUUAAACUACUGAUUUAAGUACUCACGUGAUUUGCUCUAAAGUGACUUGCUGCCUCCAUUUCUGGAUAUAACGGAAACUGACCUCAUUUUAAGCAGCCCUUCCCAGGGAGCCACUUAUACAAGUGAGCAGGAAAAUUCAGUACAGUGAGGCGAAUGUGGUGACGGGGACAUCCAGAGGGCUAGGAGGACAUAGAGAAGGCUUGGAGGCUCAUUCAGGAGAGGCUCUGCACAGCAACUCAGAGUGGGAGGUGGGAGAUAGCGAGGAUGACGAGUAAGAGGCAAGCAGGUGUCUGAGGAAUCUGGGCAGAGUAAGUGGAAGGGCGCUGGGGCUCCCAGCCAAGGCCGAGUCAGGAGCCUCAGCUGAAGGAGAAACAAGGAGCCCUAGGGCAAAGAGCCAAGAUCUUGGGUCCUGUAAGCGCUGGCUUUGUUGCUUGGUUUUAGGAUUCAAGGCUGGGGAAGGGCCUUUGCACUUCAGCAGGAGGUGAAGCUGACAGAGCCAUCCAGAGGCUCUGAGCUACUGUAAGUUGGCUGGACCUACCGCAGGAUCUGCACGGCAGCGCCUGCAUGCAUCUGAAGUAUUCUCGGUAAGGAGCGGUAAGGGAUGCUGGCUUUGAGACCCAUUUAAGAGACAGAACCAGAAUUGGUGACUAGUGGGAAGGGAAAAGUUGAGGCCAAUCACAAGUUUUUGGCUUAGGUGUCUGAGUGGAUGGUUUUGUCCUCACUCAUAGUCGGGGCUCAGGGGAUGAGCAGUUUGUAGGGUAGGCAGGAAGAUGAGUUUGGUUUGGGGACUCUUGCUUUUGAAGGACCACUGAGACACCCAGUAGGAGAAGUCUAGUAGGCAGAUUGCAAUAUGAGUCUGGGUCUCAUGAGCGAGGUUGGAGCUGAAGAGGAGUAACAGAGAAGGGAGCCAAGACUGAAUCCUGGGGAGCACUGACAUUUAUGGGAUGGACAGACAGGGCGGGGCCCGUGAAGGUCUUUCAGGUGCCCCCAGCUCCCCAUAAUAAGUCUGCCUUCUUGCUUAGGACACAACCAUGCAAUGCCUUGACGGUUUCUUCAGCCUCCACUUCAUUCCCCUCAGACUAGCUGUUGACUGAGGCCCAAACAAGCCCCCUUUCCGAGCCCACCUAAGCCAGGAUGGGCCCACCAAGGCAAAUUCUAUUCUGCAUUAGGACCUUGCUCUCCUAAGGCUCCAUAUCUAAGCUUUGGUUUUCCACCUUCCCUGUCUCAGCCCCAGUCUUGGAGUUGGUGGCAAGGCCUCUGGCUGCAGAAUUCAUUAUGGGCCCCACUGCUCUCUCCAGGAAGCCCACUGACCGUCUGACUCAGGCGUGAGUUCACACUUUGGGAAUUUUAAUAAAUGUUGAGCGUCCGAGCCAGCCCAGAUUUCUCUGUUUCUGUGCCAAUGGCUUCUCUAAGAUGAUCCCUUCCCAUUUGUCAUCCUUUGUGCCAGAGCUCCUCUGACCUUUUAAUUAAAGUCCCCCAAAGAAGAAGGCAUUUGGAAGGUGUGGUGAAUGCUCUUUUAAGCUAAUUUUCCAACACGUCUGAACAUUCAUGUGAUUUUGUUUCCAGAGUCUGACCUGGGUCAAAAACAUUUGCUUCAAUGGGGCUCAUUUUUUGUUUCCUUCUUGAAACUUCUAUGAAACUGUUUUUUUUAGGUUGAUUUGAGGCCAAAUAGUCCCCUAACUUGCCUAAGUUGUCACAGAUGAUUUUCUGGCAAUAAAAUAUUGUAGACCUAUCAGAUUCAGUGUUAUAGGCUGCAGAAUGACCAGAUUCAGUAAAAAUCACCCAAAGGACUUCUCCCAGCCCUCUUGGAAGCAUCACUUGGGCACUGCUCUUCCUGUCAGCAGUUUGGAGGAGCCACAGCGAAGCUUGAUUGGGUCCUUUCGCCACCGUGAUUCCCUUCCUAGCUCUACGUCUGCUUUUCCUGAAGCAACCGGGUGGCCAGUGGUGCCUUUCACCAGAGGAGGGAUCCUCCCCCACCCUGGACUCCUCCUGCUUUCUCAGGCUCCCUGUUCAACCAGCUGCAGGCCUGGCUGGUUUGCUCAAUACCUAUCUACUGGGGGUCUACCAGACAACAGGCACUGCAUUUUAGCACUGGGGCUACAGUGAUGAGCAAGGCAGAAGCAGCCCCACACUCCCAGAGACUCCGCUUCACAAGGAAGACAAUGAAACAAGCAAUCACAAGAGGGAAGGGAACUUUCGAGCCAGAUACGGGCCUGAGAUACGGGUUGCAUAGCACGCAUCCUGCCUAUUAAUAACUGUAAGUCCUUGUGCAAGCCAUGGCCCCUCCCGGAACCUCAACACUCCAGUUGUCUCAUAGGCAAAUUGUCCUGCCUGCCUUGCUGGGUUCCAAGGUGACCCAAAGAAUUUGCGGCUGUGAAACUACUCUGCAAACCCUCAAAUGCCAUCCACUUGGAAAGUGUGCUUGUGGAGGCCACGAAGCUGUUGACAGCUGCUGUUUGGCAUUGGCUGGGAGGAAGGUCAGAGCGUCCAGUGCUCAUGCAUGUGAACUCUGGGACUUCACAUGCUGGGAACAUCAUUGGGAGACACCAGCUGACCCCCCUUGUCCCCAGGGAGCAAAUGUGCCUGGCUCACUGUCCCCGUGGACGUGAGUGAAGCAUUUACACAACACAAGCAAGGCUUCCAGAGCAUCCUAGAGCAAUGUUAACUUUUUUCAGUGCUCCGUGAAUGUCGUCUUUACACCUGUUAUCUCAUUCAUUUAACCUUCCUAGUGACUCUAGGAAACAGGUACUGUUCCGAUUUUUAAGUCGAGGAACAUGAAGCCCAGAGAAGUAUAGAAAUGUGCAAAAGGAUAGAGGUAGUUAGGGCAGAACAACCCACGCCUUCUGACUCUAGGUCUCACACCCUUCCCACCCCUUUAAUUUCCACGAGAAAAAAGAUCUUGACGUUAUUCAGCAAACAGGAAGUCUGUGUCUGGUUUAUUUUGCUAGUCUCCAUGGAACUUAGCCCUAGCUGAGAACAUGAUAGGUAUUCGGUAAAUACUAGAACCACAGAAUCGAAGAAUGUGGCUUUGGAAUCAGGCAGAUCUGGGUUCAAAUCCUGCUCAGCCACUCACGAGCUGUGUGACUUUGGCAGGGGCUCUGAUUCUCAGUCUUCACAUCUGUACAGUGUGAGGGUGCGUCCUGCCUGGGGCUGUCGUGAGUGUCCAUGGGGAGAACACGUAACACCUUGAGCACUACACCUGGCACAGAUCAGGAGGGCUCUCCAGUUAACAGAAGCUGUAAAAACUGGCCUUUAAACCUUUUGGUUUGAGUGUAAAGAGCGGAGGGUGACCCUGAGAACUCACUUCUCUUUCGUAGCUCCCUAGCCCUCUCUCUGGCACACAUUUAUUUUUAAAACCCGUGUGUGUAAAACCAGGGUGGGACCAUGUGCCUUUGAUUCAUUCCCACUUAAGUGACAGGCAUUGUGUGCUCAGGGGCCUCACAGGGGCUUCCUCCUCCACGGCCUCCGCUACCUUGGCCUGUGGAGAUGGAGGUCUCUCUGAUCCAGAUGAGCUCCCACUCUGGAUCCAAAGGAAGGGACUUGCCCAAACUCACUGGACAGAGGAAGGUUAAACCUCUGCUCGAUAUCUGUGCAGAGUGCAGUAUAUCUCAGGUUGUGGGCAGCUAGGUACCAAUGGUACACAUUGUAUGGUCCUCUGUGUCAUUUGGGGUUGCAAAAGAAUGAUUAAUAUACCCAUUUUACAGAGGGGUAAAUGAGGCCCAGAGAGCCAUUUAUUGAGCUUUUGUUAUGUGUCAAAUAUUGUACAAGGUGUUCCGUUUGCCUUCUCUUUGGUCCUUAGAGGGGAUUUGGAGAUGUACAAACUGAGGCUCAGGGAGGUCAAGUGUUUCGUUCAGGGUCACACCAUGUAUCAGUUAGGGAAAAAGUUAAGAUGCUCUAACAGGGACCUCACAAUGCCAUCGCUGAAACAAGAUCUGGGUGGACUGCCUCCUCGUGUAACAGUACUCCGGAGGCCCACAGCUUGGCCCCAUGUGGUCACUCAGGUAUCCGGGGUCCUUCUCAUUUUGUCAUUAGAGUGUUGCCUCGUCCACUUGGUUGAAGCUGUUUUGCCCCCUCCAAAUAUGUGUUCCAGUCCAUGGGAAGGGGGAAAGGGAGGAAGUGGAGGGCAAGCCAUUUCCAUUUACAGUUUAUUGGGGAGAACAUAGCCAUACCUAGAUGCAAAGGAGCCUGGGACACGUAGUCACCAGCUGGGUGACUCCUUGCCCAUCCCAAACUCAGAGAGGGGAGGUGUUCUAUCAAUACAUCUCUAACCAUCUCUGCUACACACAGUGAGCGGCAGAGCUGGGUUUUGAACACUAGUCUGUCUGCUCCAUCGCUGCACAGAUCUUAGUGAAGAGGGCAGAUUCCUUCCCUGACUUCUGCUCCUCUCUUGUAUUCUGACCACCUUGGUGCAUAGAGUCAGACACCCGCCGACAUUAGCAGGAUAAUUGAGCAUUUUCUCUGUGCCAAACACAGAGUGCUUUUCACACAUUGUUUCAUUUAGUCUUCAAUCAGACUGAAAGUCUUUGUGUAGAGAUCUCAUAAAGGGUCAAUUGAUCUGAAAUGCUCAGGGACCCUGGGCACACAGACGUGGCAUUCCACCCUCUCAGUUCUUCCCCAGACAGCCCAAUGCUUAAGAGCUUGGGGUCCACGUACAUCCUUCAAAAUAAAUCAUAGCCCUUUCAGAUGGUAGAUCCAGCCAUUACAAAGAAUGAGGCAGAUAUUUCUAUGCUGAUAUGUUAGGACUGCCUAGUAAUAUUGGUAAGUGGAAAGUGGAAAAAGAAAGGGGCAGAACACUGUCUGCAGUGUGCUACCGGUGGGCAAGCCUAAUGCAUUUGCUUUGCUGGUGGAGGAGAUGUCUCGUAGGAUGUACAACAACUGAGAACAGUGAUCCCCUCCCAGAGAACAAGAUGCUGGGAGACCAGGAGUAGCAGGAACACUUAUUCAUACUGUAGACAUCUUUGUACCUUUUGAAUUUGGUACCACGUGAAUAUAUUUCCUAUUUUUAAAAAAAGUAAAAAUAAAGAUAAAAACUAGGCCUUGUGAUAUGGAGAUAGCUAGAUGACCCUGGGAAUGUCCCUCAACCUCUGUGGAGCUUCAGUUUCCUGAUUUGUGAAAUGGGGAGUAAAAAUCUUAGUGCAGGUCUGCCUCACACGAGAGUCAAGUGCAGUGACGCCCAUAAAGGGCUUCCACUCUGCAGGACAAAUCGUUCGUGUGCAGUGAGCGUUAACGAUCUUCGUGUAGUUCCUUCCUGGAAGGGACAGGGAGUAGAUGUUCUGUUUGUCUCGAGGAACAGCCCUGAUCAAGGUCCUGGCAUUCUCUUUGGCCCUGGGAGGGCUUUCAGCGAGGUUGAAGGAACCUCUGGCCCAGAGCUCGGGCCUUUGCUCCAGCUGUCUUUGGGAAGUUCUCUCUUGGGAACUAGCAAGGGGAGGUUGGCAAGGCGCCCAAAUGCUGAUUUUCCUGGUUCAGGAAACCUGGAACCUGGGAAGGAUUGUCCAUCCCUGGACAGCCCAGGCCCCUUUGGCAUCUGGAUGCCUUGUAGCCUGUAACCCCUUCUUUCCUUGGAGACACUAAGACCUACACAAUGCAUCAGUCGAGCUCUCAAGGCCAUUAGUCCAAGCCCGUUGUCUGAUGGGCAGGGUAGAGGGGGCCAAGAAGAGCCCGAGUUUGCAUGACAGAGCAGUGACAAUGCUGGGCCUGGAGCCCAGAUGCGAGUCCAGCGCAGGUGUUUCUCUAAACUGCCUAGGGAUGCUGUCAGGUUAAACCUACCGCUUUAAUGAACCUGAGCUGGGUGCUUUCCGGGAGUUCUUACUUAUUCCUUUACUGCAGACUGCUGUUGAGGACCUGCUGUGUAUGAGGCCAGUGCAGGAGCUACAAAGAUCCGUCAGGCCUCACCCUUCUGGCGGACAGGCCGUGGGGCGAGGGUUGGGGUGGGGAGGGGAAUUGGUUCUACCAGAGAGGAGAGAACCAAGUCCUGGGAGUUCAGACGAGGGAGAGUUCACACGAGGACAGGAGAAUGAGAGGGUGCUGUGUGUUCAUCCGGUGUCAUUCAUUCAUUCAUUCAUUCAUUUAUCCAUUCCAGAGACCUUCUCUGGAGGAAGGAAGGAUACACAUGCAUAUUGACUACUCUGUCUACCAGGCAUAAUGCUUCUGGUUUUCACAUUCAUUAUCUGAUGUAAAAUAAUAAAGGCAAUGUAAAGUAGUGCCAAGAUCAUAAACUUGAUUGUCAGGCAAACCUGGGUUUAAACCCUAGAACCUCUACCUUUUUAGCUGUGGGGAAAACUCAGUUAUCUUCUCUUAACCUGCUUCCUUAUUUGUCAACUGGGGUUAAUAAUCAAAAAGUCAUCAUGAGGAUUGAAAGAGAUGAUGUCUGUAACCAUUCCACUUAUGGCUUGGCACAGAGGAAGCUCUAAAUAAAAAUGCUGGCUCUCUUCCCUUCCUGUACCCUAGAGAACUUUUUUUGAGACAAAUUAUUGCCUAUCGUGACUUCUAGAAUUGGGCUGUAUUCUACGAAAAGGGAGCACUAAUGUAGUACAGCACUCUUGACACUGUCCUUACCUCAUCUUUCAGGAUGAAAGGGUAGGAUGGCCUCUUUCCCCUCCGUUUUAUCAAAGACAUCCCAUUGCUGGCUGGACUUAAUUCAUAAGGCCGCAUCAAAGAACACUCUGCACUGGCGAGUGUGACUGCUUUCUCUUGGGACUUGGGCUUCUGUUUUCUCUGGAGCUGGAAGGCCAAAGCCCCAGGCCUGCCAUAGAAGAUCGUGCCAGGUCAGCCUUGGGCCCCGAAGGCCUGCCCUACUCAGGGUUCCCAUCUGGGUAGCGUUUGGGUUGGAUUGUGCCCUUCAAGAAGAUAUGUUGAAGUCUUAACCCCAAGUGCCUCAGGAUGUGACCUUGUUGGAAUUAGGGUUUGUGCAGAUGUAAUUAGUUAAGAUGAGGUCAUACUGGAGUAGGCUGGGCCCUUAGUAUAAUGUCCUUACAAGAAGACCACAUGAAGAGAAUGCCAUGUGAUGACAGAGGCAGGACUGGAGUGCUGCGGCUACAAGCCAAGGGACGCCAGGCCCUGAGGGCCACCGCCAGAACCUAGGAAGAGGCAAGGAAGGAUUCUCCUGCAGGCUUCAGUGGGAGCCUGGCACUGCAGACACCUUGAUUUUGGACUGCUGACCUCUAGAGAUGUGAGACAAUAGGCUACCGUUGUUUUGCAGCUGCCCAGUUUGUGGCACUUUCUUACGGCAGCCCUCGGAAACUAGGGUUCAAUGAGUGGAUAUUUCAUCUCCAUCUUAAAGUUCGGAAACCAUAGCCCCCAAACUUCCUCAUUUCUCCAGAACAAACAGUUUGGUGUAGGACUCGGCAAAGGUCGUGGGUCCAUCGAAGGAACGAGCGAAUGAACGGCUGGCAGCUUGGAGAAGGGGUGCGGAUGGCACAGGGUCUGCGGCUAGUUGGAGGCGGAGUCUGCUCUCGAGCCUGUCUCUGGGGUCUGGUCCACUGUUUGCUCCACCAGGACAAUCACAAGAUUUACCACUUAGCGCCCUGCUGACGAGCCUGGGCUUUGGAGUCUCUCGGCCUCAGUUUCCCCACUUGUAGCUUUUGGCCUCGUUCCAUAAAUGUCGGUGCCAUUGCUAUUGUCACUAUUAUUAUCAUGUUCUUGUAUCACACUUUAAGUGGGUCACAUAUAUUGUUUCAUUUAAUUCUCAUGGUAGCCCUUGAGGUAAAUGUUACUAUUCCAGUUUUGCAGACAAGGCUGAGGCACAGAGAGGUUAAAUACACUGUCCAAACACCCAGGUGGGAAAUAGUGGCCUCAGGUGGCAAACCAGCCAUGCAGCCUCCUGUUGCGUCUCAGGGCUCCUGUCCGGCCGCCUCCAUUCAGACUCAGCUUUCCAGGCCUCAGAGUCAGCCCCUCACUGCAGGACGGCCACAGGCCUCUGUCUCCUGAUUCAGGUGUACUGUCUGGCCACCCACAGGCUCUGUCUGGAGUGUCAGCUUUCCUCAACUUUUUUUUUUAUUCUUUGAAAAUCUCUCCCUUGCUAAAAUAAAAUUUUCAACAUGGUAAAUACAACUCUCAUACGAAUAUAACAUGAGCAUAUGUGAAAGAUUUUAUUUUAACUUAUUAAUUAAUACGGGAACUAAUAAGAGAUUAAGUGAGAAUUUGACUUACAGAGAUUGAUAUUCUCUUUCAGAUAAAACCCAGUUUGAUUGCUCUGAGCAGGAAUUAUUGGGAUUGCCACGGACAAUUGCACUGCUAUUAGUUUUUACCUGUUAAGUUUUAUCUCGUACAAAGUUGUAAAAUGGCUAAGUCAAUCAAAAACAAUCAAAGGGAUACAGAAUCUGAUGACCCUUGGCCUGCUAGACAAUGUUCAGAAUUCAACUGAAACAACACUCAGUCUUCUCUUUUGCCCCUUUCCAGUCUUUGACAAAAAUUUCCUGAUACUCUUUUUACUGUGUGCAAUGCAAAAGGCUUUUUAUCCAUUAGAUAUUUAGAACUCCUGUAAAUUACUAAAAAAGUGACAACUGACCCAAAGGAAAAGUGGGCAAAGGAUAUUAAACACACACUUCCCAAAUAGGCAGUAAAAAUGAAAAGAUGCUCAACUUCAUUAGUAAUCAAAGAAAUGCAAACUAAAACUACAAUGAGAUAUCAUUUCAUGCCCUCUAGAUAAAAUUGGUAAAAAUUUAGAAGUCAGGCAUUAGCAGGAAUAUGGAGUCCCAGGAAUUCUCGUGCACUGGUGGUAGGAGUUUCAACUGGUAAGAUCACUUUGGAGAGAAAUUUGGCAAUAGCUAGUAAAGUUGAAGAUGUUCACCCUGGGACUAGAGAAUCUCCUCAUAGGUACGUUUUCCAGAGAAACUCUUGUACACGUGCACAGAGAGACACAUGUGGAGACCAUCACAACAGCCUGAUUUGUAAGAGCAGAUCAUUGGGAAGAACCUAAAUGUCCGUCAUCAGGAGAACGCAGAACAUAAGUUGUGCUGUAUUUCUGUACUCAUAUCAUGGAAUACUCUACAGCGUUAAAAUGAAUGAAGUUGAGUUAGAUGUGUCAAUAUGGAUAAAUCUCAAAAACUAUGUUGAGUGAAAGAAGCAAGUUGUAGAAUGAUCAGCGCAAUUGUUAAAGCUUUAAAACAUGCAAAAACAGUAUUACCGUUUUACAAGGACAAGUGUGGCUAAGUGUAAAAAAUAAGAAGGGAGUGACA